AUGUCUGUGGUGUAACAGCUGCAGGCGUGGAUGGGUGUUGGGCAGCGCUCUGCACACGCCGUGGAGUCUGUCGGCUCGUCUGCAUGCCUUUGGAUGCCCUUGAAAAGGUGUCUGUGGGCGGGUGGCACGUUUACUUUGAACAAGUUUGGGUGCUCAAAUCAGGCCGAUGUUGCCUGAAGAGUUUUGCAUGGAAUAAUGGAAUAGGACUUCGGCUCUAUUUCGUUGGUUUUCGGAUCCGAAGUAAUGAUCAAAGGAGACGGGCGGGGACGUUUGUAUGGCUGCGCUAGAGGUGAAGUUCAUGGACCGUAGCCAGACAGACUGAAGCGAAAGCAUUCGUCAAGCAUGUUUUCAUUGGCCAUGGGCGAAAGUCAGAGGCUCGAAGACGGUCAGGUACCGUCCUAGUUCUGACCAUAAACGAUGCCAACUGACGAUCCGUGGUGGUAGUAGUGUUACCUUC
rnacentral:ncRNA from 1 species